rfam:HIV-1 isolate VI850 from Democratic Republic of the Congo, complete genome.
GGCCGGGGGGAAAGAAAAGAUAUAAAAUGAAACAUCUAAUAUGGGCAAGCAGGGAGCUAGAACGAUUUGCACUUGAUCCUGGCC